AUGGAUUUUUUUUCAUAA
rnacentral:sRNA from 1 species